CGUGGGAAGAACUAGCAGGAGCGUGGUGAGGACGUUUAAAGAGUGGCAGCAGUAACUUAAGCGGUGAAACGAGCCGAGAGGCAGAAAUGUGUGAAACUUUAUGACUGAUCAUUAAAACUGAUCAUUUGCAUUCAGACAGAAACUCGUGUUGAACGACUCGUUUUGUUUUCCAGCCACGUGGUUCCUUAUGGAUUCGGUUCUGUCCGGCUGAAGAGGGAGCUCGGCCGCUGCCUCUGCUCACACACACAGGACUCCGAGUGUGUGAGCUUCUGCUCCGUACAGACAGAGGGGGGGAAUGCCGCGGUGACGAGGAAGACUGACAAACAUCUGAAGAGAUACAGAGCUGCAUUCUGGGGGAAAAGGAGCCGGCACGCUCUGAAAGCUCAGACCUGAGCAGCAGCAGUCGUCUCAGCGUCAGAAAUAAGCAACAGUUUGUACAGUGUGUGUGUAAAUGUGAUGACGGGAACAUGACCUCAGAUGAUGUGUAGCUCUGAGCGACGAGAGCGGCCUCGGGGGGGCGAGGCCCGCACAUUUACAACUUAUUACUAUUUUAAUUCAACAUUCCUGCCGUGAUGUGCGGCGCCGUCUGUUUCUCAUCCACAGCUGCUGAAAGCCUCUCACUCCCCGCAGAGACUCGUCUCGCUCGGGUUGAAAGUCGUGUUUUUGAGAAUCGCGAUUAAAGAACGGCGACACACGGAGAAGGGCCGAAACAUAAGUUGUAUUUCAUUAAUGGACACUUUUAAAUCUGAGUUCUAAUAUUUGAGAGACGGCUGUCUGACAGACGACGAGUGUUGGAGCACAAAUCUGACAUUUUGAAGAAUAAAGUUGGUAAAAUGAGAAUAAAGUUAUAAUUUCACAAGAAAACAUAAUAAUGUAUUAUAAGUCACGAUAUUAUGAGAUAAAGUCUUAGUUUUAGUAGAAAAUAUAAUUGCAAUAAGUCGUAAUUUUCUAUUAUUCGUUAUUAGUUUGCACUGUUUAUUUCAAUAACAGAAUAUUCUGAAUUUAAUUUGUAAUAUAUUAAAACUCUUUCCUAUAAAAUAAAGACUUUUUCUUGUAAGAUUUAAACUUUAUUCUUGACAUUCUACAAAUAGUUUGUAGUCUUGUGAUAUCUUGCACAACUUUCUCUCCUUUAUUCUCAGAUUUAUUUAAUAUAUAUUAUAUAUAUUUCCAGAGUAUUCUGUUAUUGGAAGUGUCAUGUGACGAGUGGUUUCUGUUUUACAGUUUGUGUGAAGAACAAGAACAAUAAUAAGUUCUGUAACCCUCAGUGUUUUACUUGUGCUUUACUGAUGUUUUAAUAAUGAAGUAUUGAUUGAUCUCAGUGUGUAAUCUUCUUCAUGUGGAAUAUAAAGAACAACAUUUAAUAACUUCCUGG
ensembl:lncRNA